rnacentral:rRNA from 2 species
GGACGAACGCUGGCGGCGUGCUUAACACAUGCAAGUCGAACGGAAAGGCCCUGCUUGCAGGGUACUCGAGUGGCGAACGGGUGAGUAACACGUGGGUGAUCUGCCCUGCACUUCGGGAUAAGCCUGGGAAACUGGGUCUAAUACCGGAUAGGAGCCAUUUUUAGUGUGAUGGUUGGAAAGUUUUUUCGGUGUAGGAUGAGCUCGCGGCCUAUCAGCUUGUUGGUGGGGUAAUGGCCUACCAAGGCGGCGACGGGUAGCCGGCCUGAGAGGGUGGACGGCCACAUUGGGACUGAGAUACGGCCCAGACUCCUACGGGAGGCAGCAGUGGGGAAUAUUGCACAAUGGGCGCAAGCCUGAUGCAGCGACGCCGCGUGGGGGAUGACGGCCUUCGGGUUGUAAACUCCUUUCGCUAGGGACGAAGCUUUUUGUGACGGUACCUAGAUAAGAAGCACCGGCUAACUACGU